rnacentral:rRNA from 1 species
GACGAACGCUGGCGGCGUGCCUAAUACAUGCAAGUUGAGCGCUGAAGGUUGGUACUUGUACCAACUGGAUGAGCAGCGAACGGGUGAGUAACGCGUGGGGAAUCUGCCUUUGAGCGGGGGACAACAUUUGGAAACGAAUGCUAAUACCGCAUAAAAACUUUAAACACAAGUUUUAAGUUUGAAAGAUGCAAUUGCAUCACUCAAGGAUGAUCCCGCGUUGUAUUAGCUAGUUGGUGAGGUAAAGGCUCACCAAGGCGAUGAUACAUAGCCGACCUGAGAGGGUGAUCGGCCACAUUGGGACUGAGACACGGCCCAAACUCCUGCGGGAGGCAGCAGUAGGGAAUCUUCGGCAAUGGACGAAAGUCUGACCGAGCAACGCCGCGUGAGUGAAGAAGGUUUUCGGAUCGUAAAACUCUGUUGGUAGAGAAGAACGUUGGUGAGAGUGGAAAGCGCAUCAAGUGACGGUAACUACACAGAAAGGGACGGCUAACUACGUG